UACGGAGGGUGCAAACGUUGCUCGGAAUUAUUGGGCGUAAAGCGCACGUAGGCGGUUCGUUAUGUCGGAUGUGAAAGCCCUCGGCUUAACCGAGGAAGUGCAUCCGAAACUGGCGAGCUUGAGUAUGGAAGAGGGUCUCGGAAUUCCCGGUGUAGAGGUGAAAUUCGUAGAUAUCGGGAGGAACACCAACGGCGAAAGCACUCUGCUGGGCCGACACUGACACUGAGAGACGAAAGCUAGGGGAGCGAAUGGG
rnacentral:rRNA from 1 species